rnacentral:rRNA from 1 species
GAUGAAUGCUGGCGGCGUGCCUAACACAUGCAAGUCGAGCGGCAGCGCGAGUAGUUUACUACUUGGCGGCGAGCGGCGGACGGCUGAGUAACGCGUGGGAACGUGCCCCAAAGUGAGGAAUAACUGCCCGAAAGGGUGGCUAAUGCCGCAUAUGAUCUUCGGAUUAAAGGAUUUAUCCGCGUUGGGAGCGGCCCGCGUUAGAUUAGGUAGUUGGUGAGGUAAUGGCUCACCAAGCCGACGAUCUAUAGCUGGUCUGAGAGGAUGAUCAGCCAGACUGGAACUGAGACACGGUCCAGACUCCUACGGGAGGCAGCAGUGAGGAAUCUUCCACAAUGGGCGAAAGCCUGAUGGAGCAACGCCGCGUGCAGGAUGAAGGCCCUAGGGUCGUAAACUGCUUUUAUAAGUGAAGAAUAUGACGGUAACUUAUGAAUAAGCACCGGCUAACUACGUGCCAGCAGCCGCCGUAA